rnacentral:misc_RNA from 1 species
UGGAACAAACUAUUUGCGAAGUAUGCUAUUCUAUGCUUAUUUUAACUUGUCUGCCAAAGGGAAAAAAAUUAUUUGUGAUGCUGAGUGGAUAAUUUCUUACGCUGCUAUUUUCGCUGUAGAGCUGAAUAGUUUGUUUGGAAGAAUUAUUGGUCAUUUAUUCUUGUCUGAUUAUGGCAUCGUUUCGAACAUUCAGCUGAAAAGCUCAUUUUGGUAGAAUUGUUUAUCUUAAUUUGUUUUGGUGUUAGAUUACAGUAUUGGUGUGGGACAAACUUUAAAAGGGGAGAUUAAGGUUCCGCCGACCAAAGAGACUGGGGCAAAAGCUUUUGAAUUGUAGGUUUUGCAUGAGGAAGUUAACCUAUUCAUAAACUUUGGGGCGACCCAGUCCAUUGAAAUGCUGGAUUUUGACAAGGGAUUUCCUUCUAGGAGUGGGAAUUCUUUUAGCCUAGCCCAUCCAACAAAUAAGAUAUAUAUAGAGUUGGACUAAAAGUUAUGCCUGAAAAUAGGGCUGGGCUUGGGCAUAAGCAAAAAUAUCAGGCUGAAUUAGGAUAGCCUGACCUAUAAAAUUAGUAGCUCUGUGAGGAAGCUAGGUAAGGAGUAUAACAAAACUGCAGUAAUGCAGGAGAUUAUGGCUGGCUUUGGUUGUUGAUAUUGCUUGCUAGUGAUGUCAGACCAGAAGAGGAAAGAUUUUAGGCUGUUAUUCCAAAGUGAGAAUGGAGGGUGACGUUGGAAAUAAAAUAUUUAGGCUUUUAGGUUUUAACCAUUGUAGGAAAGAUGGUAAUGGUGUUAAAAUAAAUCACAUCAGGGCUCAAGUUGUGGUUUUUGAGUAUACGAGCUAAAAUAUGAGAGGACCCUAAUUGUGAAAUAAUUUGUACCUGUAUAAUAUAUAUAUGGCCAAUAGUAAGUUCGAUCUACUUAAUGUUACCCUGUUCUCCAAUAUGUGUGAUUAUAAUACCGAAAUCACACAAAGAUAGUAGGAAAGCAUUUUUACCUAGUUAUUUCUUCAUUCAUUUUUUAUAUAGCUGGAAAAAAAAUCUUAUUGUAUAGGCAUUCUUGUUGAUGCUAGACGGUUAAAUAAUUUCAUUCAUGACAUUACCGGAACGUGUUUAAAGUUGAAAUCUUUUUAGUUGGAUCCUGCAUGCUUUCUGAGAGAAAGUUCCUGCCAUCUUUUUCCCUUCUCAUUCUGUCUUCAAUUGCUGCUACUGCUUUAGAUUUCAAAAAUCUGCAGUCUUUGGAAAUAUGUGGUGGUGGAUUAACUGAUGCUGGCAUAAGGAACAUCAAAGAUCUUUCAUCCCUGCUUCUGCUAAAUUUGUCACAGAACUGCAAUCUAACAGAUAAAUCAUUGGAAUUGAUUUCUG